rnacentral:rRNA from 1 species
AUUGAACGCUGGCGGCAGGCCUAACACAUGCAAGUCGAACGAGUGGCGGACGGGUGAGUAAUGUCUGGGAAACUGCCUGAUGGAGGGGGAUUACUACUGGAAACGGUAGCUAAUACCGCAUACCAUCGGAUGUGCCCAGAUGGGAUUAGCUAGUGGGGGGGGUAAAGGCUCACCUAGGCGACGAUCCCUAGUUGGUCUGAGAGGAGGACCAGCCACACGAGAACGGAGACACGGUCCAGACUCCUACGGGAGGCAGCAGUGGGGAAUAUUGCACAAUGGGCGCAAGCAUGAUGCAGCCAUGCCGCGUGUAUGAAGAAGGCCUUCGGGUUGUAAAGUACUUUCAGCGGGGAGGCGUUACCCGCAGAAGAAGCACCGGCUAACUCCGUGCCAGCAGCCGCGGUAAUAC